UACGUAGGGGGCAAGCGUUGUCCGGAUUUACUGGGCGUAAAGAGCGCGCAGGCGGUCGUUCAAGUCGAGUGUGAAAGCCCCCGGCUCAACUGGGGAGGGUCACUCGAUACUGAUCGACUUGAAGGCAGGAGAGGGAAGCGGAAUUCCCGGUGUAGUGGUGAAAUGCGUAGAUAUCGGGAGGAACACCAGUGGCGAAGGCGGGUCUCUGGGCCGUAACUGACGCUGAGGAGCGAAAGCAUGGGGAGCGAACAGGG
rnacentral:rRNA from 1 species